CGAAAGUCUGAUGGAGCAACGCCGCGUGAACGAUGAAGGCUUUCGGGUCGUAAAGUUCUGUUGUAAGGGAAGAACAAGUGCCGCAGGCAAUGGCGGCACCUUGACGGUACCUUGCGAGAAAGCCACGGCUAACUACGUGCCAGCAGCCGCGGUAAUACGUAGGUGGCAAGCGUUGUCCGGAAUUAUUGGGCGUAAAGCGCGCGCAGGCGGCCUCUUAAGUCUGAUGUGAAAGCCCCCCGGCUCAACCGGGGAGGGCCAUUGGAAACUGGGAGGCUUGAGUAUAGGAGAGAAGAGUGGAAUUCCACGUGUAGCGGUGAAAUGCGUAGAGAUGUGGAGGAACACCAGUGGCGAAGGCGACUCUUUGGCCUAUAACUGACGCUGAGGCGCGAAAGCGUGGGGAGCAAACAGGAUUAGAUACCCUGGUAG
rnacentral:rRNA from 1 species